CACGUAGUUAGCCGGUGCUUCUUUACCCAUUACCGUCACUCACGCUUCGUCACAGGCGAAAGCGGUUUACAACCCGAAGGCCGUCAUCCCGCAUGCGGCGUUGCUGCAUCAGGCUUCCGCCCAUUGUGCAAUAUUCCCCACUGCUGCCUCCCGUAGGAGUCUGGGCCGUAUCUCAGUCCCAAUGUGGCCGGUCACCCUCUCAGGCCGGCUACCCGUCAAAGCCUUGGUAAGCCACUACCCCACCAACAAGCUGAUAAGCCGCGAGUCCAUCCCCAACCGCCGAAACUUUCCAACCCCCACCAUGCAGCAGGAGCUCCUAUCCGGUAUUAGCCCCAGUUUCCUGAAGUUAUCCCAAAGUCAAGGGCAGGUUACUCACGUGUUACUCACCCGUUCGCCACUCGAGCACCCCACAAAAGCAGGGCCUUUCCGUUCGACUUGCAUGUGUUAAGCACGCCGCCAGCGUUCGUCCUGAGCCAGGAUCAAACUCU
rnacentral:rRNA from 1 species